AAAAAAAGUGGUGGUCCAGGAGAGAUCGAACCAGCGGGCCAUAGUGGAUCUGAGAGACUUCGAACUAUGAUCCAUCCACUGCUGUAAGAGGGAAGUAGUCGCUGCUCUGUGAAACCAGCCUCACGCAUUACCCUCCGACUUUAGAAUCCGCCUGAGUCAAGCCUUCGCCUGACCCACACAGAUUACUCACAGCUUGGACUGGGCAGCUCAGAUAUAUGUCAGCAUCAGGUCCGACCCGAGGAAUUGAACCACUGUUCCACCACCUUAUUGUCCCCACUCGGGUCACAAGCUCUCGUUACUUAGCUCGACUUAC
rnacentral:SRP_RNA from 1 species